UGGCUCAGAACGAACGCUGGCGGCAUGCCUUACACAUGCAAGUCGAACGGCAGCAUGGAGGAGCUUGCUCCUCUGAUGGCGAGUGGCGAACGGGUGAGUAAAGCAUCGGAACGUGCCGUGUAGUGGGGGAUAACGUAGCGAAAGUUACGCUAAUACCGCAUACGCACCGAGGUGGAAAGCAGGGGAUCGCAAGACCUUGCGCUAUACGAGCGGCCGAUGUCAGAUUAGCUAGUUGGUUGUGUAAAGGCCUACCAGAGAAACGAUCUGUAGCGGGUCUGAGAGGAUGAUCCGCCACAC
rnacentral:rRNA from 1 species